GACGAACGCUGGCGGCGUGCUUAACACAUGCAAGUCGAACGGAAAGGCCCUGCUUUUGUGGGGUGCUCGAGUGGCGAACGGGUGAGUAACACGUGAGUAACCUGCCCUUGACUUUGGGAUAACUUCAGGAAACUGGGGCUAAUACCGGAUAGGAGCUCCUGCUGCAUGGUGGGGGUUGGAAAGGUUCGGCGGUUGGGGAUGGACUCGCGGCUUAUCAGCUUGUUGGUGGGGUAGUGGCUUACCAAGGCUUUGACGGGUAGCCGGCCUGAGAGGGUGACCGGCCACAUUGGGACUGAGAUACGGCCCAGACUCCUACGGGAGGCAGCAGUGGGGAAUACUGCACAAUGGGCGGAAGCCUGAUGCAGCAACGCCGCGUGCGGGAUGACGGCCUUCGGGUUGUAAACCGCUUUCGCCUGUGACGAAGCGUGAGUGACGGUAAUGGGUAAAGAAGCACCGGCUAACUACGUG
rnacentral:rRNA from 1 species